UCAGUUAGGAUCAGUUCAGUUGGGCUCAGUUCAGUUGGAUUUGAUUGUUAGGAUCAUUUCAGUUGGGUUCAGUACAGUUGGAUUUGGUUCGGUUCAGAUCAGAGAUGAAGAACUGAAACACUGCUGCAGUUCUCAUCCUCAUUUCCCUCCUAAACAGUUCCAGUCCGGUUUUUAGUUUUGGACAUACUUGUUGCCUUAUUUUUGUAAACUUUUUAUUUCCUCAUGAAUUUGUUGCCAAAAUGAACGUUUUAGUUCCUACUGUAGUGCACCUGUAUGAAUACAUCAUCUGUAGAAUAGCACCUUGAGAACAUUCUAACACGCUGAGUUGUCAUGAAUGUUUUGGGGUCAAGUUUUAGGCAGGCACUGCAAAGUGAACUGUUCUCUUAACAAAUAAGAUAUUACUGGGUUUCUCAGAAAGAAAGACAGAGAGACAGAGAGACAGACAAGGAUUUGUAAAAUGAAUGUAAAUACUAUUUCCUGUUUCCUGUGAGAUCUCCCGUCUUUCGUCUGCUAACAGAAACGCAGAUUUACUUGUUUUUAUGUGCUUUUUUCAGUUGUACAUUCUUUCAGAAUAAUGUCUGUACCAUGUCUGUGUUCCUAAAUGUCCCUGUGGAAUUUGUACUUUUUUUUGUGUGAAUUUGCUGAAAGUAUAAAAAAAACAAAACAAGAAAGAUUAAAUCUGUAAACUUUAAUAUGUAAAUCAAAAAGAUAACAUUAAAUGACAACUGAUCAUAA